rnacentral:tmRNA from 1 species
GGGGGUGUCAAGGUUUCGACGGGGGACGGAAACGAAGGUGGCAUGCCGAGGUGGGCUGGCCUCGUAAAAAGCCCAACUAUAACUAAACGCAGACUCUGACGUUAGUUACGCACUGGCCGCUUAAUUAAGCGACCACGUUUCAUGCUUUAUCGCCCAUGUAGAGUAUGGAACGUACAAGAAGUGGGAUAGUUUCAGCGAGUGUCUGUGGCGCUGAGGCGAAACUUAAGCAGACUCGCCGGUUGGAUAUCCUGUCUGUGGGAGCUUCACCCGGUUAAUUCAAUACACAGACUACGCAUGUAGAAGCCUUACGUGGAAAGCUUUCGGACGCGGGUUCGAUUCCCGCCACCUCCACCA